rnacentral:lncRNA from 1 species
ACACUGAUAUAUAUCAUGUACACACGUGUGCACACAGACACACUGAUACAUAUCAUGUACACACGUGUGCACACAGAUACACUGAUACAUAUCAUGUACACACGUAUGCACACAGAUACACUGAUAUAUAUCAUGUACACACAUAUGCACACACAGACACACUGAUAUAUAUCAUGUACACACAUAUGUGUGCACACAGACACACUGAUAUAUAUCAUGUACACACGUGUGCACACAGAUACACUGAUACAUAUCAUGUACACACGUAUGCACACAGAUACACUGAUAUAUAUCAUGUACACACGUAUGCACACAGAUACACUGAUAUAUAUCAUGUACACACAUAUGUACACACAGACACACUGAUAUAUAUCAUGUACACACGUAUGCACACACAGACACACUGAUACAUAUCAUGUACACACGUGUGCACACAGAUACACUGAUACAUAUCAUGUACACACGUAUGCACACAGAUACACUGAUAUAUAUCAUGUACACACGUAUGCACACAGAUACACUGAUAUAUAUCAUGUACACACAUAUGUGCACACAGAUACACUGAUAUAUAUCAUGUACACACAUAUGUACACACAGACACACUGAUAUAUAUCAUGUACACACGUAUGCACACACAGAUACACUGAUACAUAUCAUGUACACACGUGUGCACACAGAUACACUGAUACAUAUCAUGUACACACGUAUGCACACAGAUACACUGAUACAUAUCAUGUACACACAUAUGUACACACAGAUACACUGAUAUAUAUCAUGUACACACGUAUGUACACACAGACACACUGAUAUAUAUCAUGUACACACGUAUGUGCACACAGAUACACUGAUAUAUAUCAUGUACACACGUAUGUGCACACAGAUACACUGAUAUAUAUCAUGUACACACA